CCCGUCCCGCCAAACCCGUCCCGU
rnacentral:siRNA from 1 species